GAUGAACGCUGGCGGCGUGCCUAAUACAUGCAAGUCGAGCGAACGGACGAGAAGCUUGCUUCUCUGAUGUUAGCGGCGGACGGGUGAGUAACACGUGGAUAACCUACCUAUAAGACUGGGAUAACUUCGGGAAACCGGAGCUAAUACCGGAUAAUAUUUUGAACCGCAUGGUUCAAAAGUGAAAGACGGUCUUGCUGUCACUUAUAGAUGGAUCCGCGCUGCAUUAGCUAGUUGGUAAGGUAACGGCUUACCAAGGCAACGAAGCAUAGCCGACCUGAGAGGGUGAUCGGCCACACUGGAACUGAGACACGGUCCAGACUCCUACGGGAGGCAGCAGUAGGGAAUCUUCCGCAAUGGGCGAAAGCCUGACGGGGCAACGCCGCGUGAGUGAUGAAGGUCUUCGGAUCGUAAAACUCUGUUAUUAGGGAAGAACAUAUGUGUAAGUAACUGUGCACAUCUUGACGGUACCUAAUCAGAAAGCCACGGCUAACUACGUG
rnacentral:rRNA from 1 species